CCUACGGGAGGCAGCAGUGGGGAAUAUUGGACAAUGGGGGCAACCCUGAUCCAGCCAUGCCGCGUGUGUGAAGAAGGCCCUCGGGUUGUAAAGCACUUUCAGUGAGGAAGAACGCCUGGUGGUUAAUACCCAUCAGGAAAGACAUCACUCACAGAAGAAGCACCGGCUAACUCCGUGCCAGCAGCCGCGGUAAUACGGAGGGUGCGAGCGUUAAUCGGAAUUACUGGGCGUAAAGCGCGCGUAGGUGGCUUGAUAAGCCGGUUGUGAAAGCCCCGGGCUCAACCUGGGAACGGCAUCCGGAACUGUCAAGCUAGAGUGCAGGAGAGGAAGGUAGAAUUCCCGGUGUAGCGGUGAAAUGCGUAGUGAUCGGGAGGAAUACCAGUGGCGAAGGCGGCCUUCUGGACUGACACUGACACUGAGGUGCGAAAGCGUGGGUAGCAAACAGGAUUAGAUACCCUGGUAGUC
rnacentral:rRNA from 1 species